rnacentral:rRNA from 1 species
GACAGCAGCAGCCGCGGGAAUACAGAGGGUGCGAGCGUUAAUCGGAUUUACUGGGCGUAAAGCGUGCGUAGGCGGCUUCUUAAGUCGGAUGUGAAAUCCCUGAGCUUAACUUAGGAAUUGCAUUCGAUACUGGGAAGCUAGAGUAUGGGAGAGGAUGGUAGAAUUCCAGGUGUAGCGGUGAAAUGCGUAGAGAUCUGGAGGAAUACCGAUGGCGAAGGCAGCCAUCUGGCCUAAUACUGACGCUGAGGUACGAAAGCAUGGGGAGCAAACAGGAUUAGAUACCCGAGUAGUCCCUGUCUCUUAUAC